rnacentral:rRNA from 1 species
UACAGGGGGGGCAAGCGUUGUUCGGAAUUACUGGGCGUAAAGGGUCUGUAGGUGGCCAACUAAGUCAGACGUGAAAUCCCUCAGCUUAACUGGGGAACUGCGUCUGAUACUGGAUGGCUUGAGUGUGGGAGAGGAAUGCGGAAUUCCAGGUGUAGCGGUAAAAUGCGUAGAUAUCUGGAGGAACACCGGUGGCGAAGGCGGCAUUCUGGACCAUAACUGACACUGAGAGACGAAAGCCAGGGGAGCAAACGGG